rnacentral:rRNA from 1 species
GGGCCCGCACAAGCGGUGGAGUAUGUGGUUUAAUUCGAUGCAACGCGAAGAACCUUACCAGGGUUUGACAUCCUGCGAAUCUCUUGGAAACAGGAGAGUGCCUUCGGGAACGCAGUGACAGGUGGUGCAUGGCUGUCGUCAGCUCGUGUCGUGAGAUGUUGGGUUAAGUCCUAUAACGAGCGCAACCCCUAUCGUUAGUUGCCAUCAAGUAAAGUUGGGAACUCUAGCGAAACUGCCGGUGCAAACCGAGAGGAAGGUGGGGAUGACGUCAAAUCAUCACGGCCCUUACGUUCUGGGCUACACACGUACUACAAUGCUACGGACAAAGGGGCAGCAAACUCGCGAGAGCUAGCAAAUCCCAUAAACGUGGCUC